rnacentral:rRNA from 1 species
AGUGAACGCUGGCGGUAGGCCUAACACAUGCAAGUCGAACGUCAGCACAGGAGAGCUUGCUCUCUGGGUGGCGAGUGGCGGACGGGUGAGGAAUACAUCGGAAUCUACUCUGUCGUGGGGGAUAACGUAGGGAAACUUACGCUAAUACCGCAUACGACCUACGGGUGCAAGCAGGGGACCUUCGGGCCUUGCGCGAUUGAAUGAGCCGAUGUCGGAUUAGCUAGUUGGCGGGGUAAAGGCCCACCAAGGCGACGAUCCGUAGCUGGUCUGAGAGGAUGAUCAGCCACACUGGAACUGAGACACGGUCCAGACUCCUACGGGAGGCAGCAGUGGGGAAUAUUGGACAAUGGGCGCAAGCCUGAUCCAGCCAUACCGCGUGGGUGAAGAAGGCCUUCGGGUUGUAAAGCCCUUUUGUUGGGAAAGAGAUCCAGCUGGCUAAUACCCGGUUGGGAUGACGGUACCCAAAGAAUAAGCACCGGCUAACUUCGUGCCAGCCGCCGCGGUAA